UACGUAGGGUGCAAGCGUUAAUCGGAAUUACUGGGCGUAAAGCGUGCGCAGGCGGUGAUGUAAGACAGAUGUGAAAUCCCCGGGCUCAACCUGGGAACUGCAUUUGUGACUGCAUCGCUGGAGUGCGGCAGAGGGGGAUGGAAUUCCGCGUGUAGCAGUGAAAUGCGUAGAUAUGCGGAGGAACACCGAUGGCGAAGGCAAUCCCCUGGGCCUGCACUGACGCUCAUGCGCGAAAGCGUGGGGAGCAAACCGG
rnacentral:rRNA from 1 species